CGUAGGUGGCAAGCGUUGUCCGGGAUUAUUGGGCGUAAAGCGCGCGCAGGCGGCUUCUUAAGUCCAUCUUAAAAGUGCGGGGCUUAACCCCGUGAUGGGAUGGAAACUGAGAGGCUGGAGUAUCGGAGAGGAAAGUGGAAUUCCUAGUGUAGCGGUGAAAUGCGUAGAGAUUAGGAAGAACACCGGUGGCGAAGGGCGACUUUCUGGACGACAACUGACGCUGAGGCGCGAAAGCGUGGGGAGCAA
rnacentral:rRNA from 1 species